rnacentral:rRNA from 1 species
UACGUAGGUGGCAAGCGUUGUCCGGAAUUAUUGGGCGUAAAGCGCUCGCAGGCGGUCUUUUAAGUCUGAUGUGAAAGCCCACGGCUCAACCGUGGAGGGUCAUUGGAAACUGGGAGACUUGAGUGCAGAAGAGGAGAGUGGAAUUCCACGUGUAGCGGUGAAAUGCGUAGAGAUGUGGAGGAACACCAGUGGCGAAGGCGACUCUCUGGUCUGUAACUGACGCUGAGGAGCGAAAGCGUGGGGAGCGAACAGGAUUAGAAACCCCCGUAGUCC